UGGGGAAUAUUGCACAAUGGGCGAAAGCCUGAUGCAGCAACGCCGCGUGAAGGAAGAAGGCUUUCGGGUCGUAAACUUCUGUCCUAGGGGAAGAUAAUGACGCAACCCUUGGAGGAAGCCCCGGCUAACUACGUGCCAGCAGCCGCGGUAAUACGUAGGGGGCAAGCGUUAUCCGGAAUUAUUGGGCGUAAAGAGUGCGUAGGUGGUAACUUAAGCGCGGGGUUUAAGGCAAUGGCUUAACCAUUGUUCGCCCCGCGAACUGGGAUACUUGAGUGCAGGAGAGGAAAGCGGAAUUCCUAGUGUAGCGGUGAAAUGCGUAGAUAUUAGGAGGAACACCAGUGGCGAAGGCGGCUUUCUGGACUGAAACUGACACUGAGGCACGAAAGUGUGGGGAGCAAACA
rnacentral:rRNA from 1 species